ensembl:snRNA U1 U1 spliceosomal RNA
AUACUUAGCUGGCAGAGGAGAUACCAUGAUCACAAAGGUGGUUUUCCCAGGGUGAGGUUUAUCCAUUAAACUCAGGAUGUGCUGACCCCUGCGAUUUCCCCAAAUGUGGGAAACUCAACUGCAUAAUUGGUGAUAGUGAGAGACUGCGUUCUCACUUUCCCCUA